AUAUCCCAUAACCAUAAUAAAGCGAAUUUGUAGUCGACUGAAAUAAUCAUUCAAAGAUAUAUUUCAACAAAAGGAAUGCCAAAGGGACUUGACUACAAAAUAUUAUUAAUAAUAAUAAUAAUAAUAUCUUUGAAACAUGCAAACAUCUUUGAUUUAGAAAUGGUCCCUAUCUUUUAUAAGAACCUUAGAAAAAUAUCUCGUGUUAACA
rnacentral:lncRNA from 1 species